GUAUUAAUUGCUUUCUGGCAGUAAGCCUCUCUUUCUUCUUAUUUUCAGUCUUUAAACUAUGACCUCAGCUGAUCUGGGACAGUAAUCGAAGCUAUGUCUUGCUAACACAAUGAGAACAGCACUACAGAAGUUGCCUGGAAAAAUUCUGGGAUACUGGACUGGUUCAGUUUAUGUUAACUCACACACAGGAUUAUUUUAAAGUUCUUCAGUAUUCUUAACUGAAAGAAAAAAUGACAAGAACAGCAAUUCAAGUGUUAUUGCUCUAUUGCUUUUCUGCUAGGUGUGAGACAGCACUUUGCCCUGCUAAAUCACAGCAAAUAAUGUUCUGAAGUCAUUUCCAGAUUUAUACCUCAACCCAGAAGAUGGCUCACAGAGUGGGAGUAGGGGGCAGAAUUAGCAAGCAAACCCAAAAAGACACAGUUGCUCUGUUUCCAAUGGUGUCUGCCUGCCAACCAGCUUUUACUGAAGCUAGUGUUACUAAGCAGAAAGAGUAUGCAAAGAGGUCAUGGAAGCACACAGCAGAAAGAACCUACAAGCCAAGAGAAGAGGCUCCAGAAUUUAACCUACAUUGGCCGCAAUUUGCUGUUGGACUUCUGGUGUACAGAACUUGAAUGAAAAAAUUCUCUGUCGUUCAGACUAUCCCAGAUGCAAUAUUUUGUCAUGGCAGCUGGUUCUAAUACAAAAGUAUUCACAAAUAACUGCA
ensembl:lncRNA